rnacentral:rRNA from 1 species
CGGAUUAGCUAGUUGGUGAGGUAAUGGCUCACCAAGGCGACGAUCCGUAACUGGUCUGAGAGGAUGAUCCAGUCACACUGGAACUGAGACACGGUCCAGACUCCUACGGGAGGCAGCAGUGGGGAAUAUUGGACAAUGGGCGAAAGCCUGAUCCAGCCAUGCCGCGUGUGUGAAGAAGGUCUUCGGAUUGUAAAGCACUUUAAGUUGGGAGGAAGGGCAGUUACCUAAUACGUGAUUGUUAAACGUACCGACAGA